AUUGAACGCUGGCGGCAGGCCUAACACAUGCAAGUCGUACGAGUGGCGGACGGGUGAGUAAUGUCUGGGAAACUGCCUGAUGGAGGGGGAUAACUACUGGAUACGGUAGCUAAUUCCGCAUACCAUCAGAUGUGCCCAGCUGGGAUUAGCUUGUUGGUGGGGUAACGGCUCACCAAGGCGACGAUCCCUACCUGGUCUGAGAGGAUGACCCGCCACACUGGAACUGAAACACUGUCCAGACUCCUACGGGAGGCAGCAGUGGGGAAGAUUGCACAAUGGGCGCAAUCCUGAUGCAGCCGUGACGCGUGUAUGAAGAAGGCCUUCGGGUUGUAAAGUACUUUCAGCGGGGAGGCGUUACCCGCAGAAGAAGCACCGGCUAACUCCGUGCCAGCAGCCGCGGGAAUUG
rnacentral:rRNA from 1 species